rnacentral:lncRNA from 1 species
GACUUUGGGGAAUUUCAAUGUUUUGCUUUUCAUCUUCCUGAGAGUCCAGAAGCCUCCCCGUCAGAAGUGUGUUAACAGCAGUUCAGCCCAUUUCAGGGUGAAGGACAGUUUGUCAUCUAACUGUUUUAACCCUCUUAGGGAGAAAGUACAUAGACUGAAAAGAAUUUGACUGAACGAAGACUCGAUCACACGCUGUGUACCCGCCCUGUGUAGGUGAACUCAGUGCAAAUAUCUAAUUGGAAUCCUGAAUGACACCAAAACCCUUUGCUGGAGCUGGGAGCAGAGAGGGAAUUAUGAGGGGGAGGCAACAGGAAGCGUCACCUGGUCAGGAAGGACUCCCUGAGCCUCAGCUAACAGGAAGCGUCACCUGGUCAGGAAAGAUUCCCUGAGCCUCAGGUCAGGGCUUGAAUUUCUCAUUCAUUUGGUAGCUUAGAGUCCCAGGAUUAAGAUAUGGUGAUGCAUGGAGGGAGAACCCCACUCUGGGAAGAGAAGAGCAACAGCAUCUCCUGUCUCCCUCAGUCCAGGCUUUGUGCCAGAUUAUCUCACGGAUCCUCACAAGUACACAGCCUAGGUGACUUAAAAGAAGAAGAGAUUAAGACACAGACAGAUACAGAGGAAAGAUUACAUGAAGACUCAGGAAAAUGACGCCAUCUACAAGCGAAGGAGAGAGGCCUCAGGAUAAAUCAACCCUACAGACACCUUAAUCUCAGAUUUCUAGCCUCUAGACUUGUAAGAAAAUAAAUUUCUGUUGUUUAAGUG